CAAAAGCCUUCCAAGGCAGAAAUGUGAAACAUUUUGCAUAAUAUAUAAAUAUUUGCAUAAGGGGCAGGCACUUAGGGUGUAUGGGCCAAUCCAUCUCACUGCCUAUUAUUCUUCAUGGCUGUGAGUUAAAAAUUAUAUUUAUAUUUUAAAUGGCUUUUAAAAAGAAAACUAUAAAUAUGAAAAUUAAUAUAAAAUUUACUCUCCAUAAGUAAUUUUAUUGCAACACAGCCAUAUUUAUUCUUCUGCAUACUGUGUGUGGCUGCUUUUGUGUUACAGGUAGAGUUGGGUGACUGCUUCAGAGUUUAUACCCUGCAAAGCUUAAAAUACAAACUAUCUGGGCCCAUACAGACAUUCUCCCAGCCCAUGGCUUAUGGUAUAGUGCAGUGUGACUGCUUUUCCCAUGUAUUAAUGUGUAGGGAUAUGUGUUUAAUUGCUUUGGUGUUCCUGCUUUCCAGUCAUUGUCACCCAUGUCUAAGAGAAUUUGUCACUAUGUAAGCAAAACAAACACUAUAUUGAUAACCAUUGUGUGCAAGGAAAAUAAUCUUGAGUCUCAAAUUAUGUUGCAAAUAAUGAAAAAGAUUUAUGUAGAAAGAGAUUCUCAAUUUAUUUGUGAUAGCUCAGUAAAAUGUACACAUUUCCCAGCUAGCGCAUAUCACAGAAACCUCACUGUAGUAGGGAGCCAUCCUUCUUUAGCAUUUGUUUAUUUUCUUGGGAAUGUCAAGCAAAGGUUUUCACAAUCUACUCCACCUCUUUGGAAUAAUUUAUCUCUCAUCAUUAGUUCACAGAUAUAACUUGGAAUUUAUAUGUACUUUGUAUUAUUCAUAGUACUUAGAAAUUAUAGAUUUUUGUUGUUUGUGGAUGGAAAAUAAGUGAAAAAUCUCAAAAAGAUGACUUGUUAUAUUCCAAACUUGACAAAUGUAGGACCUGAAGAGAAAAAUGUAGCAUGAGAAAAAACAGGUAUUUUCAAACAACUUUCCCCUGUGAAUUGAGUAGAGGACCGUCUUUCAUUACUAAAAUAGUUACUGUGGGCUUGAGUCUAAAGUAGUUUUAAGAUAAGGGAGAAAGGAGAAGUACACCACUAACUUUGCAGUCUUUCUCAAUUAGGUUUGUAGGAUACAGUGAAGCCCUGAUUUUCCAUGGAACCAAGAAUGCUACUAAUUAUGUAACAUCUUAAGGAGAAGGGAGAAGAUCACAACUCAGAUCAUUGAUUAUAUUCUAUGCUCCAGAUGAGUUUAGUGAACACAUAGGACUUAGUGUAUUGAUCAUUGUGGAGUGAGAUAAAAUGAGUUCUGUAAACAUCUGCAGGAAGAACGUCCCAUAAAAAACAUAACUUGCAGGGAAAUUUUCUCUGGGCCCUUAGUACUAUCUUAUACUUUCCAAAUACAUUGGGAAGUUCAGUGGUAAGUUCUCACGUACUUAAAAUGUAUAUAGGAUAAGAUGUAAAAUGGUGUAAAGAGCUGGAGUAAAACCUCUUCAUAAUAUCAGAUUUUUUUUUUUUGGUACUGGGGAUCGAACUGGGGACCUUGUGCUUGUGAGGCAGGCACUGAAACCACUGAGCUAAAUCCCCGCCCCAAUAUAGAUUUUGUUUGGUUUUCUUUGUAAAAGAAGGCCAUUCUUAAUAUUUUAAUAAACUAAUCUGGCUUCCAACCCUUCCUUAAGAAAGUAUGUGUAAAGAUUAGUAUGCCAUAUACCACAUACCAUCCACUUGUAACAAUACGCAAGUUCUGUUAUGAAGAAUGAGAACUCAGUAUCAAUAACCAGUGAAUGUAAGCAAAAUGGUUGCUAUAGGAGCUAAAGAUGAAUGUUAUGUGAAGAAGCUGAAAAAGGGAAGCAGUCUUUAUAGUUAUAAAUAGAUUUUUAUACAUUUGUUUAUUGGAGUGGUAAUACUAGGUUUUUGAAAUAAUUUGAUGAGGGGAGAGAAGGUUGUAUGUUAAUUUACUUUCUAAUGUUUACUUAAUGAAUUUACUUAAUGAGGCCAGCCUGGGUUACAUAGUGAAUUCAAGACCAGCCAGAACUACUUAGCGAGAUCCUGUCUCAAAAAACAAAAACAAACAAUGAAUUGUGCACAAAUUCAGCCUCCCAGAAUCAUGCAGUUUUGCUCCUGUCUUUUUAGCUAACUUCUGUUUUGGAAAUGCCAUUUUUUUUUUUUUUUAAAAGACGUAUUUCUAAUUGCUCUGAAUGUGUAUAUUUAGAUUUCUCAACUUUAAAAUUGGCAUUACUAUAAAUGAGUUUAAAGUAACUAGAAAAUUGUUUUUAUUUUUCUUGCAUUUUUUGUACCUAAAAUUUUAUCACCACUAGGUCGUGUUAAAACAGUAGCUUUUGUAUACUGAUAGUAUCUGUUGUUUCUUUUAGUUUUACCAGUAUAAGAAUUUUCUUUUUCUUGUCUCCCAGGCACUCUCCCCUUCAUAGCACCAAUCACCAACCUAUAACAAUUUUGAAAAUGUUAUAAAUACAAACUAUGUUGUAUAUUUUCAAAUUUUAAAGCAGUAGUAUUCUCUUUUUAAACUGAACUGUUGGAAAGAAGAAGAAAACAAAUAUAUUUACUUUAUAUUUGUAAAACUUUCUGAAAAGUAAAAAGUACGGAAAGCUAAUGUCAC
ensembl:lncRNA